UAGAUUUGUUAAACUAGUCAAGAGGAAGCGUCUUUGCUGUUUGUAUUAACGUGUAGCGUUGGUUGGGUCGGGUUGUGUUGCGUUGUGUUGUGAUGUGUUUGUUUGUGAAUUGUGUAAUAUUUUGUGUGAUCUAGUGGCUUAUUGAACGUUGUGAAGCUGUCCUGCUCGUAAGGUGUUGGAAUAAGUACCAUUCAGGUCAGCAACAACUAGCAAAUCAGGAUAGUGUGUGUGUGUGGUGCAUGCUGCCUGACAUACAGGGG